GUUUGAUUUUUGAAUAAUAUGUAUUAUUUCUGUGGUCUGAAAAGAGAAGGUGGAGGAGAGAACGAAAGUCAGAGAAUAUAACCAACCCAACACACCAGAAGCUAGUGAAGCCCUGUGAAUGGCUGAUCCCAGUUCUGUAGGUCAGAAGCCAGCACUGCCUGGCGGAUUCUCUGCUCAUGGUCUCAGGAGGCUGAAAUCGAGGUGUCAGUCAGCUACAUUCUCAUCUGCAGCUUGGAAUCCUCUUCCAAACUCAUUCAGUAUUUGGCAGCAUUCAAUUUCUUCUUGGCCAUCAGCCAGGAGUCCCUGUCUCCUCCUAGAGGUUUCCCAGCUUCUUCAGCAGAUCACAACAUAGAUGCGUCCUUUCCUGGUUGGUAUCUGUGGGGGAUUGGUCCUGGGUUCCUGGGACCUGUGCAGAUAGCAAAAUCAGCAGGUUCUCCUGACCUGCAGUCGGCCCUGCAGAACCCGUGGGUAGGAAGAGGCAGCAUCCACUCUCCAGAUCUGCGGGUUCUGCAUUCCACAAAUACUGUAUUUUUGGUAAGUAGUUGGUUUAAUCCAUGCAUGUGGAACCGUGGAUAUGAAGAGCUGACUGGGCUUGCUUUCUUCCAGACCAGCAGAGUGCAUCAAACUCCAGGCUUCAAAGGGCUCAUCUGAAUAGGUCAGACCCACCCUUGAUGAUCCCUCUUUUGCUAUAAAAUGUGACAUGAUCAAAGGAGUGACAUCUGAUUCUACUUACAGGUCCAUCCUCAAAAUCUCAAAGGACCCCAAAUAGCCAAAGCAAUCUUGUAGGGAAAAAAAAAACUGGAGGCCUUACACAUUCUGAUUUCAAAACAUAUUGCAAAGCUAUAGUGAUCAAAACAGUAUGAUACUGGCAUAAAGACAGAAUAGAGUCCAGAAAUAAACCCUCACAUAUAUUGUCAAAUAAUCUUUGACAAGGCUACACAGUGAGGAAAGAUAAUCUCCUCAACAAAUGUUGUUGGGGAAACAGGAUAUCCACAUGCAAAAGAAUGAAUUUGGGCUCUUACCUUAUACCAUAUACAAAAGUUACCUCAAAAUGGACAAAAUCCUAAAUGUAAGAUCCCAAACUGUAAAACCCUGAAAGGAAAGGGGAAAAAGCUUUAUGGCAUUGGAAUUGGCGUUGAUUUCUUGACUGUCACACCAAAACAGAAAAUAGACAAAUGGGACUAUGUCAAACUUAAAAACUUCUGUGUGACAAAGGAAACAGUCAACAUGGUGAAAAGGCAACCCACAGAAUGAAAGAACACAUUUGCCAGUCAUUUAUCUGAUAACACGUUAAUAUCCAGAAUUUAUAAAGAACUCCUACAACUCAACAACAACAAAAAAACAAACAUGCUGAUUAAAAACUAGAUAAAAGACUUUAAUAGACAUUUCUCCAAAUAAGAUACACAAAUUGCCCACAAACGUAUGAAAAGAUGUGCAACAUCAUCAUUAAUCACCAGGGAAAUGCAAAUCAAAACCACAGUGGGAUAUCAUCUCAUGCCCAUUAGGAUGAUCACUAUACAAAAUAAAAAUAAAAAAAAAAACUAAAAAAAAAAAAAGUUUUGCUGAGGAUAUGGAGAAAUUGGAAACCUGCAUUGCUGCUGGGAAUAAAAAUGGUGAAUGUUUUAGUCCAUUUUUUGUGGCUAUGAAGGAAUACCUGAGGUUGAGGUUGGGUAAUUUAUAAAGAGAAAAGGUUUAUUCGAUUCACAAUUCUGGAUGGCUGGAAAGUGCAAAGCUGGGCAUCUGCAUCUGGUGAGGGCCUCAGGCUGCAUCUACUCAUAGCAGAAGGUGAAGAGCAGUCAGCAUGUGCAGAGAUCACAUGGUGAGAGAGGAAGCAAGAGGGCAAGGGGGGCGUGGUGCAGGUUCUAGUUAACAACUAGCUCCCACAGGAACUAACAGAGCAAGAACUCAUUAUCGCAAAAAUGACACCAAGCCAUUCAUGAAGGAUCUGCCCCCAUCACCCAAACACUUUUCACUAGGACCCACCUCUCAACACUGCCACAUUGAGGGUUAAAUUUCAACAUGAUAUUUGAUAGGAACAAACAAACUAUAUCCAAACCAUAGCAGUGCAGCUGCUAUGGCAAACAGUAUGGAGAUUCCUCAAACAAUUAAAAAUGGAAUUAACAUACAAUCCUGCAAUCUUAAUUCUGGGUAUAUAUCCAAAAGAACGGAACACAGACCUUGAAGAGCUAACUGCACACUCACAUUCAUAGCGGCACUGUUCACAAAAGUCAAGAGGUAGAAGCCGCCUAAAUGUCCACCAAUGGAUGGUUGGAUGGAUGGAUAAACAAAACGUGGUGCAUAGGUACAACAGAAUAUUAUUCCACCUUCAAAAAGAGGAAAAUCCGGUCAUGGACGAACCUUGAGGACAGUUCACUAAGUGAAAUAAGCUAGUCACAAAAAGAAAAAUGCUACAGGAUUCCUUUUAUAUGAGGUAUUGAAAGUAGUCAAACUUUUAAAAACAAAGUAAAGUAAUGGUUGCCAGGGUCUGGGAAAAGGGAGAAAGGAGAGUUUUUCUUCAGUGGGUCUAGAGUUUUAGUUUUACCAGAUGAAAAUUUCUAAAACUCUGAUGCACACAAGGUACUUACAGUGAGCACUACUGAACUGUGUGCCUAGAAAUGGUUAAGACGGUAAAAUUUAUAUGUUUUUGUCCACAAUUUUUAAAAAAGAAGUUUUAUGAUGACAUAGACCAUUACUAUAUCUCCAGGGUCUAACACAAGUCUGGCACAUAAUAGGUGUGAACUAAAUACUUGCUAAAUGAAGGAAUUCAUAACUAUAAAGCCUAUGGUCUUAAUUAUUGUGGAGUAUACUCUUUCUAAAAUAGUAAUAAUCAUCCCAUAUUAUAUAUAUAUCUAUAUAUAAAUUGUUAUUUCUAGGAUGAGGGAGGGAACAGGGUAUUGGAAACAACAGAUGGAAGUUAGACUAAUCGGAAUGUACCUUCCUUUGUUGUUGAUUUAGAUUCCUUUGUUUUAGAUUUGAUUUUAGAACCAUGUAAACAUUUUCCAUAAUAAUU
rnacentral:lncRNA from 1 species